AACAAAACAAGAUCCUCCAUCUCGGUAAUAUGCACUGUCCAGCUGCUCCAGCAGUAUUAGCAAUCAGUAAGGCUAAAGCGUUUUGGUCCUUCAGUUACUCAUUGUGUUCGUGAGGUUCCUGUUGUGAAAGUAGAUUCUCUAAUGAUUUUAACCCUUUCGGUAUAGUUACUAUCAAUGGACUGUUAUAUAUUUGGAUAUUGAAGGGUUUGGAAAUACCUAUACGUGCCCAAGAAGUCUGUGGAUUGCCUGUUCCAACGUGCUUGUGUUUACGGAAUCGUCUGUCAUUGUUGAUAAUCUUAACAUAGAGGAAUGUUGGCACGGAAGAUCCAGGUAACUAAUCUGGAUCUUCGAGCCUGUUGUAUGUAGCGUCUCUCAUUGUGAGUGGCGACGUCUUCAGAGUUUCUUCGAGAAUGCACAACGUUCGUGAAUCCUGAACUGUACUACCUAUUUUCAACUUGCUAAGAAGUUACGGUUGUUUGCUUAGUCUGCCCGAGGAGUUGCUUAGUCUGCACAAGUUGCUUAGUCUGCCCAGGAAAUCUGUUUACACAGUAGGUACUUUUCAUGCCCGGAAGUGCGUAGGCUGUGGAAGUGGGUGGAAAGAGCUUCCCUGAAGUGCUUAGGGUAAUUACCCACUUCGGAUUGAACUCGCUAUGGCGGAAAAUCACAGGCCUGGUCGAGUUUGUUUCUGGAAUUUUAUUGUUAUUGUAACAAAAGCUUUGUCGUAUUUAAAUUGUAUUGCUAUUCCCUCGAACCUUUGCUCCGUGGAAGAAGUUAAGUUACGUAAAUGUACUUAAGUGACUUGAAGAAAUCGAAUCUGAACAGAUUCAUAGGUCGAAGGAAAUUGUAUUAAAACAUAUAAAGGAAAAGGCUGUUGGUACUAAAUACAGAGUAAAAAUAAAGUUUGUAAUGUAGAAUAAAGAUAAAUGUAUAACGCUAUAGUAAUUUUAAUUAGGUUUAUGUGAGAUGAUAUGAUUUAGCUUUAUCAUAAAGGCUGGUCAUUAUUUGAAAAUUGGAUAUUAGAAAACUACUUUUGGUAUUGGUCACUGGCUUUUUUGGUGGAGUUAUAUUUUUCUGUGUGUUGGUCAGUGUGGCUUUUUUGCUAUAGUUCAAUUGAACUAGGUGAAACAGCCGCGAACUGGAGUUUUAUGGUACAGGUAAAUGUUAUGUAUGGUACAGAUAAUGAGUUGAGAAAUUGAAGAAACAACUGGUUUCUAAAAUUCUACUUGAAAGGUUAUGCUAUUGGCAACUAUUGGCACGCUUAAGUUCAAAUCGAACUUACAAGAGAUUUACAGACCUAAAACUGGUUCAAAUCUGGCCUUUUAAGGUAUACCCUUAGGUUUUGAGAUCUGAUACUGAUGUCAAGAAAUCUAAACCCAUGAAAGGUCGAAUGACUUCAAUGUCGAUUUAUUGUAGGCAACUGGUUUCGGGAAAAUCUGUUGAAAGCAGGUUAUUAGAAAGUCUUUGGAAUUGGAAAAGUAUUCGCAUAACUGUGGAGAUUUUGAGAGAACGUUUAUCCAUUGUUAGUCUGACUGAUGCUCGAAUAAUUUUUUUUAAAAAGGUACUUGGAUAAUGAUAGGCUCUGGCGUCCAUGUAUACGUAGUUACAUGGGAGCUGUAGGACUGUACAAUGAAAGAGUAAAAUCUGAACUUGGGUUUUUUAGGGAUUAGGAACUUUUGACAAAUAUUCCACUAGGGGUCAGAAUCAAAUUUUAUUUUUGCGUUUUUAAGUUGGAGGCCUGAGCAUCUCGAGCUUUUUGCAAAGAAUACUUUUAUGAGUAUCCCCUUCCGGGUUCAAGAUAAAAAAGGAAGGUAGUUCUGUGUGUUAAAAUAAAAGGCAUAAAAAUCUUUGCACCAUACAACAUGGAGGACUUAAAUGACCUAAGGUUUCUCGAAGCACAGAUUGCAACAGGAUAUUCUUGCCGGUGACGGUUCAAAGGUUGGCUUACGAGGUUAAUGAUCAUGAUUGACGACUUACGAUAAGGAAAGCUAAUGCAAAUCUGAUUUUCAGAUAUGACGAGCUCUAUAGAUACGUUGGUUGACCAGACUUGAUUCUUGUUUUCUCCAUUACGCAUUCAGGUCGUGUACGUUUUCUCCAUUUACUGUUCUGUCUUAACGCUAAUGCUUGGCUUUCUAGCCCAAAUA